AGUGAACGCUGGCGGUAGGCCUAACACAUGCAAGUCGAACGGCAGCACAGUAAGAGCUUGCUCUUACGGGUGGCGACUGGCGGAUGGGUGAGGCAUACAUCGGAAUCUACUUUUUCGUGGGGGAUAACGUAGGGAAACUUACGCUAAUACCGCAUACGACCUACGGGUGAAAGCAGGGGAUCUUCGCACCUUGCGCGAUUGUAUGAGCCGAUGUCGGAUUAGCUAGUUGGCGGGGUAAAGGCCCACCGAGGCGACGAUCCGUAGCUGGUCUGAGAGGAUGAUCAGCCACACUGGAACUGAGACACGGUCCAGACUCCUACGGGAGGCAGCAGUGGGGAAUAUUGGACAAUGGGCGCAAGCCUGAUCCAGCCAUACCGCGUGGGUGAAGAAGGCCUUCGGGUUGUAAAGCCCUUUUGUUGGGAAAGAAAAGCAGCAGGUUAAUACCCCGCUGUUCUGACGGUACCCAAAGAAUAAGCCCCGGCUAACUACGUG
rnacentral:rRNA from 1 species